rnacentral:lncRNA from 1 species
GAGAAUAAGGCUUUGUUCGUGACCGGUGAUAGGGUAUAUGAGAAAGGGGAAAGUGCAUGAGGUCCGGAAACCUAGGUCUACGUGGAGGAUUGGAGAAUAAGGCUUUGUUCGUGACCGGUGACAGGGUAUAUGAGAAAGGGGAAAGUGCAUGAGGUCCGGAAACCUAGGUCUACAUUCGGCCUUAUUCCUCCCGAGGCUCACUUGUAUGGCACAUACAUGUGGUGAAUGGACAUACUACCAAAAAGGCGGUUCAUUUUUUUGUAUCCGUACUUGUGCACUUACUAACGACAAAUUAGAUUAAGCGACCAUCAACAACAAAUAAAAACCUGCACACAAUAGUUAUUAAGAGGUAAACACAAUUUCAAUUUUUUAAUGUUUCAUAAUAAUUAGUGGUACAUAUGUUUAUCCAUAACCAAGGGUAACAAUCAUGUAUUUUUUUCUUAAAAUUAUAAAGAAAAUUACUGGCAGCAUAGAUGUGUAAUUUUUUAUAUGCAUAGGUGCAAAUUAGUGUGUAAUAUAAAAUGCAACUACAUGAAGAAACACUCCAGAGCCUCUGAUAGGCAGUUUUUAAUUAUAUUUUCUAAGUACACUGGAGAAGAUAUUCC